CUUGUAAUAUCGAUGAUGGGGAGUCGGACCUGCCCGGUGAAAUUUUUUAACGGCCGCGGUACUCUGACCGUGCAAAGGUAGCAUAAUCAUUUGCCUUAUAAUUGAAGGCUGGUAUGAAUGGUUUGACAAGAAUAUGACUGUCUCCUUAUAAUUUGGUAGAAUUUUAUUUUUAGGUGAAAAAGCCUUGAUUUAAUUAAUAGACAAGAAGACCCUAUCGAGCUUAAAGGAAGUUAGCGGGCACUAUAAAUUUUUAGUUUAAAAAUAUGACUGCUAAGAAUUUUGGUUGGGGCGACUGAGGAACAGGAAAAGCUUCCUUUAAUGAGUUUUCUGGUGUACAAAUAUUGAUCCAUGGCUAGUGAUUAAAGGAAUUAGUUACCGUAGGGAUAACAGCAUAAUCUUUUUUGAGAGUUCUAAUCGAAAAAAGGGUUUGUGACCUCGAUGUUGGACCAGAAUGUCCUAAAGAUGCAGAAGUCUUUAAGGGUUGGUCUGUUCGACCAUUAAAAUUCUA
rnacentral:rRNA from 1 species